AUAUAUAUAUAUNAUAUAUAUAUAUAUAUAUAUAUAUAUAUAUAUAUAUAUAUACACACUGUAUCUCACCACAUAUGAUACUUUUAGUAAUACUAUUGCAGGUUUUGUAUUCAUACAAAUAUGAAAUUCCUAAAGGAGUUUAAUGGGCUGAUCACAGUGCAGUUUGUCUUUCUGUCAUGUUCAGUGUCCGUCCAAACAUCCUUAAAAAAAGAGAUUCGGAUUCAUGGCAAAUCCAAGGACAGCAGUGAACACAGUGGCCAUCAGAGAUCUCUGUAGGUUGUGGAUCCGUUCAUCGUCACUACAUGCUAACCUUGCAGCCCACGCCGCCCAUCUGUCGAAAGGGAACACAGCGUGGCUGCUGCAACCUCUCAUUUGAAUUAUUCAGACUUGUAAGCAACUUUGUGCUCCCUGGGAAGGUGUGGGCUGGAGAAAAAUGGCUGGACGUCAUCUGAGGUCAGGUGUGCAAAUGGCUUCAUCUGAGGAGUCCUGCUGCCUAACGGGAAGAAAGAUCAGUUCAAGAGAAAGGUUUUUUGAAGCAGUUCGUUGGGACGAAUAGCCUACUGCAAAAUAUGCUUGUAAAGAAUAAAAUUAUGCUUAAGUUACA
ensembl:lncRNA